rnacentral:misc_RNA from 1 species
AAAAAAACACCAAUUUAGUUCAUCAGGUUCUGAUGAAAAGUAACUCUCAUUAAUCAACAUAUUCAAUGGUAGCAAAAUAUCACAAUUACAAGAUCAACCAACAGCCAUGAAUAAUAUCUGAUCCCAUAAAAUGUCCAUCUUGCUCAUUACCUUGUGUACCUAAUCAGCACAGUUGUUAAGGGCGCGCCCUAGGCGUGCCUGAGGCGCAAGGCGACCCGGGCUCCUGGCUCAACGCCUUGAAGCUCUCCACGCGGGCAAUCUUCCUAAGGCGAGCCCAGGAAGCCAAGGCGCACCAAGGCGCAAGGGCACGCCUCAACCACACUGGGCCCAAAAAUUUCAUUUUCUUUAGACCAUUAG